CCUACGGGAGGCAGCAGUGAGGAAUAUUGGUCAAUGGACGAGAGUCUGAACCAGCCAAGUAGCGUGAAGGAUGACUGCCCUAUGGGUUGUAAGCUUCUUUUAUAUGGGAAUAAAAUGUUCAACGUGUGGGAUUUUGUAUGUACCCUAUGAAAAAGCAUCGACUAACUCGGUGCCAGCAGCCGCGGUAAUACGGAGGAUGCGAGGGUUAUCCGAAUUUAUUGGGUUUAAGGGGUGCGCAGGCGGUCUGUUACGUCAGCGGUAAAAGCCCGGGGCUCACCCCCGGCCCGCCGUUGAAACUGGCAGUCUCGAGUUGGAGAGAAGUAUGCGGAAUGCGCGGUGUAGCGGUGAAAUGCAUAGAUAUCGCGCAGAACUCCGAUUGCGAAGGCAGCAUGCCGGCUCCACACUGACGCUGAGGCACGAAAGCGUGGGUAUCGAACAGGAUUAGAUACCCCAGUAGUC
rnacentral:rRNA from 1 species